GUGGGGUUGGGGACGAAGUGGUUGACGCGGUCCCCGAUCACUGCCCAGGUCCGCUUGCCAUCGCUGAGCAUCUGCACGCCGCGGCGCUUGAACGCCUU
rnacentral:sRNA from 1 species